AUGGAUAACAAAAAAAUACAACUGUCCAUAAGUCAAUCAGCCAACAAAUACAAAGGCCAAAGUUAGAUCCUAGACAUAAAAGACUAACUAUACUAGAUCUAAUAAAUAUCAUGACUAGAGGUGUCAAAAUCAGAAGAGUUAGAGAUAUGAUGAGGAGACACAGGAUGAGAGCCACGAGCACGUCCUCGACCACGUCUGCCUCGGCCACG
rnacentral:lncRNA from 1 species